AGCCUAACAGCUAGCUCACCCCAAUAAAACCAACACAAUCCUAUUUAUAACCCCUUAUACACUACCACCCUAAAAACUAACACAUUCUUCCCUCCAAGUACGGGCGACGGAAAAGAAAAUAGAAGCAAUAGAGAAAGUACCGCAAGGGAAAGCUGAAAGAGAAAUGAAACAACCCAAUAAAGCCUAAAAAAGCAGAGAUACAACCUCGUACCUUUUGCAUCAUGAUUUAGCUAGAACCUCUUAAGCAAAAAGAAUUUUAGUUUAACACCCCGAAACUAGGUGAGCUACUCCAAGACAGCCUAAAUCUAGGGCACACCCGUCUCUGUGGCAAAAGAGUGGGAAGAGCUUCGAGUAGCGGUGACAGACCUAACGAACCUAGCCAUAGCUGGUUGCCUGGAAAAUGAAUAUAAGUUCAGCCCCUUGAAUUCUCUCCUCAAAUGCCUCAUUUACCUUUUUAAUGAUAGUGCACCCCGAGACCAAGAGAAAUUAAUAGAGUUAGUCAAGAGGGGAACAGCCCCUUUGAAAAAAGACACAACUUUUUCAGCAGGAUAAAGAUCAUAAUCCCUAUAAAGGUAAUAUGUUAUAGUGGGCCUGAAAGCAGCCACCUAAACAGAAAGCGUCAAAGCUCAAACACAACCUACCUCCUAAAAUACCGAUAACAUAUCUUAAACCCCUAAACCUACCAGGCUAUCCCAUGCCCCCAUGGGAGCAAUAAUGCUAACAUGAGUAAUAAGAGAACACCUGAUUCUCUCCCCGCAUAUGUGUAAAUCGGAACGGACAUCCCCGCCGAACAUUAACGGCCCCUAACAAAGAGGGUACUGUACCAAAAAUAACCGACAAGAAAACCACCCACUACACCACCGUUAACCCUACACAGGUAUGCCCCUAAGGAAAGACUAAAAGAAAAAGAAGGAACUCGGCAAACACAAUGCCUCGCCUGUUUACCAAAAACAUCGCCUCUUGCAACAACAACAUAAGAGGUCCCGCCUGCCCAGUGACCAUGUGUUCAACGGCCGCGGUAUUUUAACCGUGCAAAGGUAGCGUAAUCACUUGUCUUUUAAAUGUAGACCUGUAUGAAUGGCACGACGAGGGCUUAACUGUCUCCUUUUUCCAGUCAAUGAAAUUGAUCUCCCCGUGCAGAAGCGGGGAUAGCACCAUAAGACGAGAAGACCCUGUGGAGCUUUAGACACCAAGACAGACCAUAUUAUACCCCACUAACAAAACAAAACCUACUGGACUCCUGCCCUGAUGUCUUUGGUUGGGGCGACCUCGGAGAAACAAAAAACCCCCGUGCGGAAUAGGAGGCUUUCACUUCUUUUUUUACUCCUCCCGUAAACCAAGAGCUACCGCUCUAAUUAACAGAACUUCUGACCUUAAAGAUCCGGCCCAUGCCGAUCAACGGAUCAAGUUACCCCAGGGAUAACAGCGCAAUCCUCUUCUAGAGCCCGUAUCAACAAGAGGGUUUACGACCUCGAUGUUGGAUCAGGGCAUCCUAAUGGUGCAACCGCUAUUAAGGGUUCGUUUGUUCAACGAUUAAAGCCCUACGUGAUCUGAGUUCAGACCGGAGUAAUCCAGGUCAGUUUCUAUCUAUGCUAUGAUCUUUACUAGUACGAAAGGACCGGAAAGAAGAGGCCAACCCUCCAAGCACGCCUUACCCUUAACCCAUGAAAUCAACUAAAACAGACAAAAGGGCAUACCCCAUCGCUCAAGAAAACAGCAU
rnacentral:rRNA from 1 species